rnacentral:rRNA from 1 species
AACGUAAACAACCUGCCUUCAGGAUGGGGACAACAGACGGAAACGACUGCUAAUACCGAAUAAGUUCCAAGAGCCGCAUGGCCCAUGGAAGAAAAGGUGGCCUCUACCUGUAAGCUAUCGCCUGAAGAGGGGUUUGCGUCUGAUUAGCUGGUUGGAGGGGUAACGGCCCACCAAGGCGACGAUCAGUAGCCGGUCUGAGAGGAUGAACGGCCACACUGGAACUGAGACACGGUCCAG